rnacentral:lncRNA from 1 species
CUCUUUCUUUUUUUGGAAAUUCAUAGGGUCAGAUUGAACUAGUAAAAGUUGAGCCAAAUGAAUCACAAGAAAUUGUUCGAGUUAAGGUAGAACAAGGUUCAUUGUCUGACACCAGCAUAUCGUCCUCGGAAGACAUGCCGGAUUCAUUAAGUACAACAUUUCACGCCUUUGCACUGGAAAGUAUGAUGGAUGUGAGAUGCCAGGACUCAACUGACAUCGAGUUCUUAGUGGACUCCAACUACCUAGAGGAAUCCCAGGAUUUGAUGAAUUGGGAGGAGCCCACGCAGGAAGACCUGAUGGAGCCCGCGGUGCAGGAGGCCCUGAUGGAGCCCAUGGUGCAGGAAGCCCUGAUGCAGCCCAUGGUGAGCAAGAUCCUGGUGGAGCCAAUGGUGCCUGAGGACCUGAUGGAGCUGGCAGUGCAGGAAGAAAUGCAGGAGGACCACCCCUCCUCAGGCAUGGCUACCGGCUCCGGCACUCAGGUGCACCCAACCACAUUGUGCCACAUCGUCAGCAGUCCUGACCUCUGGCCUGCGGAGGAAACGUCCAGGAAGCAACACCCUGGGAAAGUGAAGCUCUCACUCUCAGAUGGCAGGGACACCAAAUGCUUCUGCUCUGCAUUUCAACUUUGCACAUUCACUGAGGAACUUGAGAACUCUUCCAAAGCCUCCACCCAGGAGCUGGAGCUGCAGAUGGAACAGCAGGAGGAGAAGCCAAAGAUGCAUCAGGAGGAGGAUCUGCAGGUACAGCAGUGGGAGGAGCUGCAGAUGAAGCAGUGGGAGGAGGUGCAGAUGGAGCAGAAAGAGAAGGCAAAGAUGCAGCAGCAGGAAGAGGAGCCAAAGAUGCAGCAGAAGGAAGAGCCACAGAUACAGCAGGAGAAGCCAAAGAUGGAGCAUCAGAAGGAGAUGCUUCAGGUGCAGCAGCAGGAGGAGGAGCUACAGCUACAACAGCAGGAGAAGUCAAAGAUGGAGCCACAGGAGAAGCUGCAGAUGUAGGAGAAAGAGAAGCCAAAGAUGCAGCAGCAGGAGAAGCUGCAGGUGCAGCAGCAGGAGGAGCCAUGGAUGCUUCAGAAUCAGGUGCUUGAGGAAGAGCAGAGACAGGAGCAGCAGCCACAACAACAGCAGGUGCAGGAGCAGCUGAGGCAGCAGAAUGGUGUCAUCUCGGAGAACCAGGUGGUACGGACACAUCUGUAAAGCCAGCCUGGCAUAUCUAUGCGUCUCCACAGUAACUCUGUUGUACCUGUGCAGACUCAGUUCAGAGUCUCACCCCUUCAAAUGAGCACUGAGCAACAACCCUCUAGCAGCAAUCAAGAUAAAGACUCUGAGAAUGGGGGAGAUGGGAGUCCCAGCUAAGAGGUGUAGGAAACAGGGAGAGGGGCUGGUGUGCCUGCUUUCCCCUCAAGACUGGACACCAGGCCUGAGAUCACAGAUGAAUGACUCGGCCAUGGGCUGCCAGCAGCCCUCUUCUGAGUAGCAGCUGGCUGCCAACUCUUCUUGCCCUGUGGCCACUGGCNNNNNNNNNNNNNNNNNNNNNNNNNNNNNNNNNNNNNNNNNNNNNNNNNNNNNNNNNNNNNNNNNNNNNNNNNNNNNNNNNNNNNNCCUGUGGCCACUGGCCACCCUGCCUCUGUAUAUGUGGUAUCUGACUAAGCAUCGGUGCGUGGACCAGAGGAUCUCCUACAGGAAAAGCACUAGAUGAGGAAGCCUCCAAGCCAGGGAGCUAGCACCCAAACUCUGAAAUCACGUGACUUGGCUCCGCCCACCCUGGGCACAGGGCGUCUGUAGGGGAGUUGCCGAGUGGUAGAGUGGUCAGAGUUGACUGGGCUUUCAGGUCCACUGUCCACCUUCCCUCGAACCGGUGAUGACAGUAGUUGAGGUGAAAGGCUCUUCAUGGCAGUGACAAUGGAUGUGAGGCUAGUGGAAGUGAAACACUCUUCACAUUGCCGUCAAUGGCCACGGCACAUAAAGCCUUAGUCCUGUGUGGCAUUAUGGAGGCACACACACGUUUCUGUUCAACAGUAAAGUCAUUGGCUCCAAGCGCCAGAAAAAGAAGGCUCUGCCCAGCAAAAAGCAAAACCAAAAAGCAAAUAAAAGCAGCAGCAAUACAAGCAGAGGUGAUCCCUCUCAGCAGCCAUACUCGCUAUGUUUACACCAAAAGCAGUGUGCCUCACGCACCUGCUAGUGGCCCUCACAUACCGAGGGCCAACACUCUGAGACCCCUGUCACUGUCACUGUCAGCUCUCUUCUCUUGCAGUAUUCAUCCUGCAGAACAACAGGGGACCUGCAUGGGUGCAGCCGCAUAGGCAAAUAGCUCUGAGUCAAUUUCCACUCCCGCCUUGUCACGGUCACCUGUAAGUCCUCCCUCUGACUUCAACACAGAGGACUCCAUACAAGUGUGGCUAGACUCCCCAGAUUCAUAGGAUGUCUUCCUGGAGCUGGACAGUUGGUCUGUUAGUGAUCAGAGCUCCUCUCGUGACCAGGCCACCUGGCAGCAGGUACGCUAUUGCCUUCUCCUUUGCCUCCAGCCCAGGUCAGGAGGGAUUCCGUCUCUUCCCUGUAUGCACACACUCUAGGAGUGCACUGUGUGUGUGAAAUCCAGACUUCAGAGCUCAGUGCAUGAGAGAACGAUGACUCACAUGACUGCAGCAUGCGCUGCUGAGCGCCACUGUUCUCCGAAGGACUCUGAAAAAGUGGGUUGCCGCAGUGGGGCUCUGCAGAAUCCGACUUCUGCACUGCUCUUGAAAAUAUGCUCCCUGAUGGGCCGGGCGUGGUGGUGCACGCCUGUCAUUCCAGCACUCUGUAGGCUGAUGCAGGAGGAUUCCCUUGAGUUCGAGGCCAGCCUGGGCUAGAAGUGAGUUCAAGGCCAGCCUAGGCUACAUGGCGAGGCCCUGACUCAAAAAAAAAAAAUCCCUUGAGUAGAGUGAGCCAGGCAGGCAGUGAUUUUAAUGCUGAUCUCCUUGCCCAUGCCUGGCCCCCAACCUGCCUUUGUGGAUCUUCAGUUCUGCUACAAAAUCUAGAGCCAUGUAUGGGUGUACUUCCUCAAAUUGGAAACAACAACCCAAAGCAGGCACCCAAGGCCCCUCUGUUGAGAGCACUUGGUGUCCAUCUUAGAGGGCUUUGUAUUACGUGGGACAGAUGCACCUUGGAGGCCUGCAGUGGCCACUUUUCCAGCAUGGGAGCUGGACCAGAUGGCAAUAACACAGGAUUCUACUCCCACGAAUCUUCCCCCAGGUGCUACGUGGACCAUAUACAUUCCACCUGACCGAGAAACAUCACUUCUGAAAGGUGUUUACACACUGGCAUUCUAAAUCUUAAAAUAGCGUAACACCCCCCCCCCAAGCAACAACAGCAACAAAACAAAGAUACAUAAACAGUGAGUGAAAGGAAAAUGAGACCUUAGUUAUUUCAAAGAACUAAAUGUAUGAUUGUUGUCACACAUCUUCACAGCCCAGCCACCAUGGCCACCAGAAAGAAGCCAGAAGGGUCAAUGGGUCCAGUGGUUCCAUUGCCGAACUGCAUUCCGGAAGGACCCUUCCUCAUGCCUGCUUUUAAGAUUGAUCAUCUUUGAUGGGGCCCUGCAGGUCAGAGUGGGAGUGAGCUAAGCAGGUAGCCGGGAGAAGCUGAGAAUCGGGUGCCGUGAGGUUGCUCAUUGGCAGAAAGUAGUAGAGUGACCCCGGGCAGGCCAGCAUUGGGUCUUGCACCCUGAGGCCAGCCUUCCCAUCUCAGGUCCACUGCCCAGAGCCCAGCACUCCUGCUCCUCCUCCUCCUCCUUCAUCCCAUUGAGUGAGGCUUGUUCAAGCCCUCCCUCAUGUCUAAACGGAGCCCUGGUGACCCCUGCUCCUCAAAAUGGAAAAGAGCCACACAGCCACCUGCUGCAAUGCUGUCUUUCCAUCAUUCUCCUGCACACUUCAGCAUGUGUCACUUUGUUAAAAUGGAUCAAAUAGCUGCAAAUCAGGGUCAGCUUUGGAAGCGACUGAGUCCAGGGCCCUGGGCUGUGGCUAUGGAAGGACUGGGUGUGGGAGGAUGGACAGAGACCCAGCAGCUUUAACGCAGGUUUGGGAAGGUGGAGGUCCGCUGCUGCUGAUGGGGAGAGGCAAGAGGGGGAGGAGCCUUUCUUUCUGCUCCCCCGUCCCCCAGCACCUUGCAGGCUCAGGGUGCACAGAGGCACUUCUCAGCCCAAGGGAUCCCCCCUACACCAUGAGGGUGGCUCCAUCCAAGCAUUUCACCUCCUCCUCUUUUCUCAGCCCAAGGAAGCACCCGAGGCAGGUGGGCUGGCCUCUCCUAUGAACCAGCCCGAAGGGAGACGCUUCAUUCCUGUAGAAGAGUAUAACUUGAAGGAUCUGCAGGGUCAGCAGAGCCCUCCUCCCCAGCCAUGAGAGGAAGGUGGCAGUGCAGGCGGGCCAUGGCCCUGCCCCUUGGUGUCUGGUGGGGGCAAACAUUUCCCUUUUCCCCAGAAGUUGUAUUUGCUCUUGUUUGUUAAACAUAGCCUGUUUGUUGGAAGUUAUGCUGCAGAAGCAGCCUUUGAUACCUAGUUUGCUGACUGCUGUCCCCUGCCCGCCACCCCCAGCUUCGCCUGUACAUGAUCUACCAUGGGCAGGCUGGCUACAGUGUUCUCAAGUUAAAUGCCAUUUUUAUGCCAACAAAAGUUGACUGAGUGGUUUGCAUUCUAGUAAGAAGUGCUCAGUGUUAGCCUAAGGGAAACCCANNNNNNNNNNNNNNNNNNNNNNNNNNNNNNNNNNNNNNNNNNNNNNNAUGGGUCCCCACUGUGUAAAC